rnacentral:lncRNA from 1 species
AUGUAUGAUCGCGUGUGUUUCCUCGUGUGUAGUCCCAUGUCCUCGUGUGUCACCCCGUGUCCUUGUGUGUGUCCCAUGUCUGCAUAUCAGCCCAUGUCCUGUGUGUCAGCGUGUGACAUUGUGUGUCCCCAUGUCUUCAUGUGUGUCCCCAUGUCUCCAUGUGUGAUCCCACAUCUUCACGUGUGUUCCUGUGUCCUCAUGUGUGUCCCUGCAUCCCUGUGUCCCCAUAUCUUCGUGUCCUCGUGUCCUUCGUGUCCCCGUGUGCUACCGUGUCCUCAUGUGUGUCCCUGCAUCCCUGUGUCCUCAUGUCUUCACGUGUGAUCCCGUGUCCUCCUGUCCCCCAUCUGUGUUCUCGUGUGUCCCAAUGUGUCCCCACGCGUGUC